AGGGAAAUGGAGGGCUAUUCUCAUUGGACCAGAACAUCUGUUGGGCUCCACCCAAAGAACUGCUUGUCCUCAGCUUGGGAACAAUUUCAAAAGUCUCACUUGUACCAUAAACUGAGCAUUUAAUGAGGUCAAUGAAACUUUAAAGUAAUUACAUAUGAUCCAAAUUCAGCAAAUUAAUCUCAAAUAAUGCUGUUUGAGAAUACUUUAGAACAGAAAAACACGUUUAUCUCACCCAAGUGACUUUUUUGAAGUAUACGAGUAACAAGCUGUGGUGAAAGCAGACAUGACAAGGCGCCAAAACACCUCUCACUCAUCAUCCUAACACAAGCAACACUGAGCAGAGGCGUGUUUAACAGGUGAAUGAUCGCGACACAGGUGUGGAGAGCAGAGGACGCUGCGUUAUAUGCUAAUCAGAAGUGUUGACGAGCCAAAGCGAACCACUGCUGCCGCUGCGUGUGACAAAAGUCAUUUAUAAAACCACAAGAUCUGAAGAACUCGUCGAAGAAGCCACUGAGGGGUAUCAUUUUCAUGCCAACUUCUGUGCUGAGAUGUUUGACACAAUCUUUACGACAGACUGCAGGUCCCACAGAGAUACUGAUGUGACUUUGAAUGAAGAACCUGAGGGCUGAGCGUUGAUGUUGGUAGGCCUCGUGAGACGCUACAAUCUCGUAUGACUUCUAAAAAGUCCUACAACAAGCCCAAAGAGCCUUGAUUCGGCAGCCGCCGAACACCACCGAGUUAAAACAGGACAGAGUGCGAGACAGACAGAGAGAGAGCGACAGUCUUGAGACGUACGUUUGGCAGGAACAAGGACAACACAUGACAGCCAUCAAGAAGACAAGAAGAUAUUUCAGAGAGACUCUUGUCAGAAAAUAGUCGAGUCGUCUGUUUGUUGUCAGAGCCACGUUCCCCGUUCAAAAUUGCACCGUGGAGAGGUAACUGCGGUCAAUGAUUGUUUUGCCAAGGACAAGCAAACAUCUACCAUCUGAGUGUUUUACAUCAUUUAAAGAAUCUUGAUGCCUGGAGGCAAGAAUUUCAAACGGCUGAAAAAGUGAACGUCGUCUUAUUGCUUCAUUACUGAUUGCAUUGAGAGACCUGCUGUUGCCCUGAAGAAUGUGAACGGCGUAUGUUGAGUUUUGGAAGCUGAUGUUCUCAUCAGGCUUUUGAGAAUGUUUAAGUUUAGCUGGUAAAUAGCAUUGCUAAACAAACCAGUAAAAACCAGCUUCGAGAUAAAUGCUGCAAAGCCGAGAUGCCACAUUGUCAGCCAUAUUGGAAAGGUUGAAAUCUGGCAAUAAACAAAUGCAAGUGAACUGAUAAAGUAAAUGCAGCUUGUGAUGCUUUUGAAAAAAUAGAAAAGAUUUUUUAAAUUAAAAGAUAAAAAAAAAAAAAAAAAAUUAAAAUACAGAAUGAUUUAUUUUUGAAGUUGUAAAUAAAACAAACAUUAUUGGAGUACAUUUUUACAAGAAAAUAUUUCAUUCUAAUUCAAAAUUUCAUGUUUAAUAUAAUGUGUUAUUUGCAUAUUCUUUGUAAUUGUGAAAUUUGCUUGC